CUUUGGACUGGCUGCUAGAAAGCUCUUAGCUAAAUUUGCAUUGCAUUUCUAGAAGAUGGAGAGGAUCUUAUGGAUUCAGGACUGAAUUCAUGGUAGCCAUCUUGAUUCCUGUACCUUUACGGUGUGUGUCCUAAAGAAACCCUCAAGCAAAUGCAUCAAGAUACAGAAACCAAUCCAAUCAGAAUGGCACUAUUUAUAAUACAGAAG